rnacentral:rRNA from 1 species
UCGGGAAUUUUGCACAAUGGCCGAAAGGCUGAUGCAGCAACGCCGCGUGAGCGAAGAAGGCCUUCGGGUUGUAAAGCUCUGUUGCCUGCGAAGAAGGGCCCUGUCAGGAAAUGGGCGGGGUUUGACGGUAGCAGGCGAGGAAGCCCCGGCAAACUACGUGCCAGCAGCCGCGGUAAUACGUAGGGGGCGAGCGUUGUCCGGAAUUACUGGGCGUAAAGGGCGUGUAGGCGGCCUGUUAAGUCAGGGGUGAAAGACCGGGGCUCAACCCCGGGGGUGCCUCUGAAACAGGCGGGCUUGAGUGCUCUAGAGGGCAGUGGAAUUCCCGGUGUAGCAGUGAGAUGCGUAGAGAUCGGGAGGAACACCAGUGGCGAAGGCGGCUGCCUGGGGAGUCACUGACGCUGAGGCGCGAAAGCUAGGGGAGCAAACAGG